rnacentral:lncRNA from 1 species
CGCUCUGUCUGGACCGCGCACGCCCGAGACCGCCCGCGGGGCGAGGCGCAGCCUCAGAAAAUGGCGGCGCCCUACGCGGCUUCCGAGUCUGGGGAAGGCGUGGCCAAUCACGAGGCGGAUCAAGGAAGAGAGGCGGGCCUUCUGCAGACGGGCGGCGCCGGCAGCCAAUCGGAGGGCAGCGCGGCGGCCGGACGGGCAGCGGGGUUGAGGGCAGCCCGUGUUGUUCUUACGGGCCGCGUGGGUCUGCCGGCUCUGUUCUCCGUGGUGGCCUGGAGAGGACGCGCGGGGGCUUCGUUUUCCCUCCUUGCCCCGUUUGCAUGGAAUCAUAGAACGGCCUGGGUUGAAAAGGAGCUCAGAGACCAUCGAGUUCCAACCCCCUGCUGUGUGCAGGGUCGCCAACCACCAGAGCGGGCGUUUGCCUACCCGUAGUCUCCACAGCACGGCUCGCAGAGCACAGGGAUGGCUGCAGUGCCGGGCAGACACCCGCCUGCUGUCCCAGCCAGCACUUUGACCGUGUUGAAAGCCAAGGCCACACGGCACAGCAAAGUGACAGCCUUCAUCCGACACCCAGAGCUGAUAAAAACACAGCAGACAAAGCAGAACUCGUGGAUUGAGAUAGGAACUGUUUACUAAGGCAAAAGGAAGAGAGAAAAGAUAUUAUAUGUAUGUACGUAUGUAUGUUAUAUAGGUCCUGUAGGACUAGCUCGAUUUCCUGCCACGACAAGGCCGCCCGUCUGGCUGACCGGGUGCAGCUGGCUGGUGUUAACUUGCUGGGUUUCAGCAAAGCUUUUGGCACUGCUUCUCACAGGACCCUCGUGGACAAAAGGUCCUGCACGGAGCUGUGGAGGAACGGGCCGCUGGCUUGCUACACCACUCCACUUCCUUGUCACGGCUGUUUGGCACCAUCUGGGGCAGACACUGAAGGGUGAGAUCUGACCCUAAGGACACGACGGCUGUGUUCGGAGACUGGUCACUGAAUGUUGUCCCAACACUGCGGCCAUCAAGCUGACAUGAACAGCAAGCUGUCCUGGUGGGUACCAAGUUGGCCACGAGCAAGCAGUGUGCCCCAGCUACCAAGAAGGCCCACGGUACCCUGCAUUAGGAGCAUUGCCAGCAGGCUGAGGUGACAUGAAAUACACAGAAAGAGAACUGGCCCUACAAUGGAGCCCUGAGGAACCCCACCAGUGACCAGCCACCAGCCUGAUGGAACCCCAUGUGCUGUAACCCUUUGGAUCUGACCCAUCAGCUCACCCUUCUCAUUGCAAAAUAAUUGAGAGAGGUCCUGCAAUGACAUCUUAGUACCCUGGGAUGAAUGCUGACCUGCUGCUCACCUGCUUGGCCUCCUACGUUUUGGAACCUCCUGUUCCUGCGCUCUCAGGAGGUGGUACUUAAAAAGUGACCGGCUCUGAUGGAUGCUAAAUUGUAAAGGUACACAACGAGUUAAAACCAAGGAGGACUGCAAAAGGUUCUCUGCUUGUGUAACUCUAUCAACAAGAGGAAGGC